GGGAAUGCAGCGGAAUGCAAAAUUGGCAGGACUCAUAAUCCUUUUUUCGUUGGUUCAAGUCCAACACGGCCUACCA
rnacentral:tRNA from 1 species